AGUGAACGCUGGCGGUAGGCCUAACACAUGCAAGUCGAACGGCAGCACAGUAAGAGCUUGCUCUUACGGGUGGCGAGUGGCGGACGGGUGAGGAAUACAUCGGAAUCUACUUUUUCGUGGGGGAUAACGUAGGGAAACUUACGCUAAUACAGCAUACGACCUACGGGUGAAAGCAGGGGAUCUUCGGACCUUGCGCGAUUGAAUGAGCCGAUGUCGGAUUAGCUAGUUGGCGGGGUAAAGGCCCACCAAGGCGACGAUCCGUAGCUGGUCUGGGAGGAUGGUCAGCCACACUGGAACGGAGACACGGUCCAGACUCCUACGGGACGCAGCAGUGGGGAAUAUUGGACAAUGGGCGCAAGCCUGAUCCAGCCAUACCGCGUGGGUUAAGAAGGCCUUCGGGUUGUAAAGCCCUUUUGUUGGGAAAGAAAAGCAGCAGGUUAAGACCCCGCUGUUCUGACGGUACCCAAAGAAUAAGCACCGGCUAACUUCGUG
rnacentral:rRNA from 1 species